rnacentral:rRNA from 1 species
CAGUCGCCGCGGUAACACGAAGGGGGCUAGCGUUGCUCGGAAUCACUGGGCGUAAAGGGUGCGUAGGCGGGUUUUUAAGUCAGAGGUGAAAUCCUGGAGCUCAACUCCAGAACUGCCUUUGAUACUGAAAGUCUUGAGUAUGGGAGAGGUGAGUGGAACUGCGAGUGUAGAGGUGAAAUUCGUAGAUAUUCGCAAGAACACCAGUGGCGAAGGCGGCUCACUGGCCCAUUACUGACGCUGAGGCACGAAAGCGUGGGGAGCAAACAGGAUUAGAUACCCCUGUAGUCCCUGUCUCUUAUAC